rnacentral:rRNA from 1 species
GGGUUGUGAGGUUAAGCGACUAAGCGUACACGGUGGAUGCCCUGGCAGUCAGAGGCGAUGAAGGACGUGCUAAUCUGCGAUAAGCGUCGGUAAGGUGAUAUGAACCGUUAUAACCGGCGAUUUCCGAAUGGGGAAACCCAGUGUGUUUCGACACACUAUCAUUAACUGAAUCCAUAGGUUAAUGAGGCGAACCGGGGGAACUGAAACAUCUAAGUACCCCGAGGAAAAGAAAUCAACCGAGAUUCCCCCAGUAGCGGCGAGCGAACGGGGAGCAGCCCAGAGCCUGAAUCAGUGUGUGUGUUAGUGGAAGCGUCUGGAAAGGCGCGCGAUACAGGGUGACAGCCCCGUACACAAAAAUGCACAUGCUGUGAGCUCGAUGAGUAGGGCGGGACACGUGGUAUCCUGUCUGAAUAUGGGGGGACCAUCCUCCAAGGCUAAAUACUCCUGACUGACCGAUAGUGAACCAGUACCGUGAGGGAAAGGCGAAAAGAACCCCGGCGAGGGGAGUGAAAAAGAACCUGAAACCGUGUACGUACAAGCAGUGGGAGCCUCUUUAUGGGGUGACUGCGUACCUUUUGUAUAAUGGGUCAGCGACUUAUAUUCUGUAGCAAGGUUAACCGAAUAGGGGAGCCGAAGGGAAACCGAGUCUUAACUGGGCGUUAAGUUGCAGGGUAUAGACCCGAAACCCGGUGAUCUAGCCAUGGGCAGGUUGAAGGUUGGGUAACACUAACUGGAGGACCGAACCGACUAAUGUUGAAAAAUUAGCGGAUGACUUGUGGCUGGGGGUGAAAGGCCAAUCAAACCGGGAGAUAGCUGGUUCUCCCCGAAAGCUAUUUAGGUAGCGCCUCGUGAAUUCAUCUCCGGGGGUAG